rnacentral:tRNA from 1 species
GGAAUUUAGUUCAGUGGUAGAAUGUUGUCUAGCGUGAAUGAGGUCCUGGGUUCAAUCCCCGGUGGGUUCUG